rnacentral:snRNA from 1 species
UGUGAGCGUAAAGAGAUAU